rnacentral:lncRNA from 1 species
CGUUCAUCCCCAACCUUUAUGUCAGAUUUUUUCAUCCUCUCAAAGAUACAGUUUGAUUCGGGUAUAAAAAAAAAUUAACUAUUACAGGAAUAAGUAUAAGUAUGAGGAUAAAAAAAAUAGUGUUUGGAUGAAAAUUAGGUUGUUUCCGGGGAUAAGAACAAUUUUAGAUAGUUUUAUAUAAAAAAUAAAGGUGUCGGUGGGAAUAACCGAGAAUAGUAAAAUUAGCGUUUGGGUAUAAAGGGGAUACGGGCCUAUUCCUAUCCCUAUCCCCUAACCAAAGGGGCACAGUAAUUU